UACGUAGGGCGCAAGCGUUAUCCGGAAUUAUUGGGCGUAAAGAGCUCGUAGGCGGUUUGUCGCGUCUGCCGUGAAAGUCCGGGGCUCAACUCCGGAUCUGCGGUGGGUACGGGCAGACUAGAGUGAUGUAGGGGGAGACUGGAAUUCCUGGUGUAGCGGUGGAAUGCGCAGAUAUCAGGAGGAACACCGAUGGCGAAGGCAGGUCUCUGGGCAGUUACUGACGUGAGGAGCGAAAGCAUGGGGAGCGAACAGG
rnacentral:rRNA from 1 species